rnacentral:snoRNA from 1 species
CUUAUACCUCUCCCAUGCAUCGUAAAGAGUUUCUAAAUCCAUCUGUACAAAAGAAGAGAUAUCAUUCCUUAACUU